UGAGGGUCAUGUUCACCCGGUUAAAAAGGGGUGAACAAAAUUGCACUCAUGAACGAAGAUUGAAGAGGCGGGAAAUGAAAUGUUUGUAGCAGACAGAAGAUUGGGGAAAGCCAAAGCAAACUCACCCUCAUCCCCGUGCGACCUGCGAUUGAAUUGAAACCACCCAAAUCUCCCCCAUUCCUCACGCCAUUUCAGCCUCUGCGGACACCGAAGCCCUGGCGUAGAACCCUCUCUAUCAGACCAUCACCAUUCACAGCUCAUCUUCUGCAAAGACGGAAACGUCAGACCCCACCUCACUAGCCCUAUCUGCGCCGGUCGGAUUCAGAGACGCCAUCAACGUCGGGGUCGCUCUCAGAGGCAUAAUCAAGGUGUUGACAUGGAAUGAUGGGAUUGGUCAAUUCUUCAUAAAUGAGAUUAGAUGGACCAAUUAAAAGCACCCAUGCCUGCAUGUUUUGGCUUCAAAAUUGAUUUUUUUUAGUUUAAAUAAAUAUAUAAAACUAUACAAAAACUUUUUGGUAGAAUUCUAUUAUUUUUCUAUAAUAUAUUGACAAAUGUUUCGAAACACUCGGAGUAGGUUUAGGAACUUCUUAAAUAGUAACAUGUUUCGAAACUUUUAUACGCAGGUUUCAGAACAUGUCUAAAAUAUACAUGUUUUGAAACAAUAUACAGGUGUUCUGAAAUGUGUUUCAAAAUACCUAAACAAAGUUUCGAAACUUUUAUCAAAAUUUCAAAAAGAAACAUUUUUGUCCAUAAUAAAAAAAUAUACUACAACACAAAUUACCUGGCUUGGAAUUUGGUGCCAAAAAGCAAUAUGGAUGAGCUGUGGGAGAUAAUAGAGGUACAAAUAUGCAUGUGAUUGAUGUAUAUAGCUUUUUCAUUGAUCGAAAAAUCAAUCACUGCUUUCUUUGUAGUCAAAGUUCACCUUUGAGCCACACCUAACUGAAGUAGCCAAGAAAUCAAUAACAAAGGAUAUGCACGAAAACUUGAUAAGAUGGGAUUGUGAGAUAAAGUGCAAAUGUUCUGAUAAAGAUAUGACUGCGGAACAAAUGGUGGCAUGCAUGGAUGACCCUCUAGUGAACAAAGAUCAAUUCAAUGGGCUUGUUCGCCAUUGGUGCUCUGAUGAAGAAGGGAAGUUUUCUUUACUCUAGGUGUAUUCAGUGAAUUGUUUGAUGGGCUUGGCAUGCUUUGGUGAGAAACUUGGAAGAACUGUAGUUUAGAGCAAAAAGGUACCCUUGUCCUGGCAUGGGAAAAAUCAAGAUUGGCCAUAGGAUGUGGAAUUUUUUUAUAUAUUCUCAGAAGAUGCUGCUGAAAAAAAUUCAAUAUUGAUCAUUUGUUGUCUGAGACAUAUCCGAUGAACUACUGUUAUGUUUCAAUACGUUUCAAUGUUGCCAGGAUGAUGAUCUCAAAACUUACAUAUAUUUUGAGAUGUUGAAGGUUGGAACAUACUUUGGAUGAAAGAAAUAUAUAUUUCUUUCUAGAUUUUAUGUGUAUGAGUAUAUCAGCAGCAGGCUUAAAUAUAUGAGCGAAACAGUAAAUAGUGUUAAUUGUAAUUUGUUGUUAAAUAAUAUUCUUCCAUCUGUUUAUUUUCAUAUCCAAUUUUUAUUUCAUUCAUUAUCUUCCAUUGGAGACCCAAAAAAAGAAAAAAGGCCCACCUGAUAGAGAGAGCAUUUUGUUGGGGUUGGAGCUCAUUUUGGUUGUGGGCCAG